rfam:Schistosoma curassoni strain Dakar, Senegal genome assembly, scaffold: SCTD_scaffold0001907
AUCCAACUGACAAGUCCCAAAUAGGACGAAACGCGCGUCAAACUGGAU